GAGAGACUAGAGUCUAGAUUAAAACAUAGAACUAUACUGGUUAUAAUUGCUAUAUGUUUCCGAAUUAUAUGUUAAUGAUAUGUGUUUCAUUGCCAUACAUGUUUCAAUUUAGGACUAGCAAACUCUGUGACAUUCAAACGCAAUUUAUUCUCUUCUGUACUGUCUGCUGACAGACGUUCUAAAAUCGAGAUUCCUUAAAAAAUUGAACCUUACAGGAAUCCUAUAUAUAACUUCAAUAAUGACGUGUUUUAAGUCAGUCAAGAUUUCUGACCUCGACUCGAGAUGAACAAGCUUUCGUUGGUCCCUACUGAAAAAUACCUUCGUCUCAGAUGAAAGGCCUUCGCCUUCGGUCGAAAUUCUCCUUACAUUUUUCAGAUAGUUGCAUUCAUUGAUAGUUCAUAUUAUUGCCACACUGACACAGAGAGUUCAAGAUAUUAGAGGCUACAUGUAGCACAGAUACCCAUAAUAAGACGAGUGAUAGCAACGGAACUAUAACAGC